rnacentral:misc_RNA from 1 species
AAGUCGUAACAAGGUCUCCGUUGGUGAACCAGCGGAGGGAUCAUUAUAGAGUUUUCUAAACUCCCAACCCAUGUGAACUUACCAUUGUUGCCUCGGCAGAAGCUGCUCGGUACACCCUACCUUGGAACGGCCUACCCUGUAGCGCCUUACCCUGGAACGGCUUACCCUGUAGCGGCUGCCGGUGGACUACCAAACUCUUGUUAUUUUAUUGUAAUCUGAGCGUCUUAUUUUAAUAAGUCAAAACUUUCAACAACGGAUCUCUUGGUUCUG